ensembl:lncRNA
AUGAUGCCUCUGGCCGGAGACGAGCUGGUCUGCCCCAAGUUCCAGCCCAACAUCUUCGACUCCACCCGCUGCCACGACUGCUUGCGCCAGAAACAGCUGCACCACACCUGUGCCGAGCGCGCUCCCGAGCAGAGCGUCUCCGUGGCCGUGCGCAGCGACGACAAGGACACCAGCGCCAAGGAUGACUCAGAUGUGCUGUCAGUGGUGAGUAGCUACUGUGAUGUCAGCAGAGGGGGGCAGGGCUUUGAGGACGGCUCCAUCUGCAUCUUGAGUCCGGACUGUGACCUCUACCUGUGUGACGGAGACGACGACCAAAGCUCGGACAGUCAGGGUGACGAUUCCAUCUACAGUAGCUCUACUGGAACAGAGGAAUACUCCAGCCUCCUUCAUCAUCCUUCAUCUUGCCAUAGAAUGACCCGCUUGGAUCAGCCACCAUACCGGGCAAGCCCCCGAGGAUGGACGGAGAUGUCCCAGAGUCGCCGUGAUGGUCUUGGGCAGUUCGGUGUUUCUCACGGUGAGGAAAACACCAAUAUCUGGUUACCAAUUGAGCAGCUUGUGGUGUUGUUCGGAUGGUUAGAGUGGCAGUUUGAGGUGUCAGGUGGUGUUGGGUUGCACCAGGCUUUUCCUGAGCACUGUGUCACGGUGCACGAGCGCAGUAUCAUUUCACAUAUUAACACAGGUCAUGAUCUUGUCUCUCUGUCUGCAGGCAGCCAGAAGGAACGGAGGGAACGGGAGAGUGGAUAUUUCUCUCUGGGAAGGGCUGCAGGCAGCAGAGCUUUACUUGAUCAAAGCCCUCCCUAUAGGCAUUCAGAGAGAGGACAUCCCCUGCCAAGCAACAAAAGCCCCGAACCCAAAGCCACCAUUCCAUUUCGAAACCCGGAUCUGGGUGUCGCUUCCGAAAGGAGGACCUCUGAGUUUCAGAAUGCUGAACAAAUUGAAGAAAACUAUCCUCCAGAGCCACUGGAUCUCAGUCUGGAGGUGGAGGCCCUCGCCGGGCCCCGGGCCCUGAGUCCCACCCCUUUCAAACAAGCGGAAUCACUCAGUGGCUCUGGUCGAAGAGCUGGACGGAAUGCCCACACAUCUCCCGUACGGCAGUCUGGAACGCUUGACUCUCCCCAAAGAGGUUCUGUCCUCUCCCGUUCUUCCUCGCCUUCCCCGUUCAGACGGGCUGAGUCCAUCUCCUCUCUAAACACAGUUGGCUUUCGGUCGGGUGGAGUUUCGCAGGGACCAGAUCGGGCAUUGGUCAAUCCGGCACGGAACAGCUACUCUGGAAACCUCCGAUCUUUUGUGAGCACCGCAGGCACCGUCAGUAGUAUCAAUAAGUCUCUCUCUCACAUGGAUGUGAGAGGCACUUUACGGAAACCCGAGACUGACCGCUCCACUGACCGCUCCUUCCCAGAGAACCGUGGAAGCUCAUCUCCUUCCAGACGGAGUUAUGAAGGUCCUGCUGUGAGGAAAACCGAAACAAAAAGCCCUGGUCACGACAGACAGUGUUCCUUCUCCUCAGUGGGACGCUAUGAUUCAAGAAGCCAGUCGCCUUCCAGACAGAGUUAUGAUAGGAAAACCGAAACGAAAGGUCUUUCAUAUGAGCGUGGACCUGACAGACCGGGAAUCUCCUCCUCUUCCACCUUGAAGAGCCACUUUGAUUCCCGAAGUCAGUCCCCUUCCAGACGAGGCUAUGAUAGGAAAAUUGAAACGAAAAGUCUUUCAUAUGAGCGUGGUCCUGACAGACAGGUAAUCUCCUCUUCUUCCACCUUGAAGAGCCGCUAUGAUUCCGGAAGUCAGUCCCCUUCCAGACGGAGUUAUGAUAGGCAAACCGAAACAAAAAGCCCUUCAUAUGAGCAUGGUCCUGACAGACAGGGAUUCUCUUCCUCUUCCUCCUUGAAGAGCUGCUAUGAUUCCCGAAGCCAGUCCCCUGUGCGGAGGAUAGAGACCAAUGGCAUAUCAAGUCAGAUUCAAGAGAGUCGACGAAGUGCGUCUCCAGUCAGAAAGGGCUAUGGAGCACCAAGCCAAUCAGAUCCAAGAUCAAUGUCUAAUGGGUGGAGCCAUGAGAGAAAAAGCCCCUCCCCAUCCAGAAAAAGCUAUGAAAUGCACAGCCAAGCCACAAUAAAAAAACCAGAAGCAAAAAGCUCCCUUCACAGCUACAACCGAGAGAGCCGACACAGUUCCCCAAGUAGAGGUCAUCACCAACUCCCUGGCCCAUCAUCACUUCGAAAGUCCGAAACAAGCCAGUCCUCGAAAAACCGUGGCUCUGAAAGCCGCAGUCCUUCCCCCGUAGCUUAUAGCCAAUCUCCUCCUCGCAAGUCAGAGAGUGGGCGGAGCCCCUCUUUGUCUACAUUGAGGCGUGAGAUUGCAGACCACGCCCCUCUGAGGAACACUGUGAGUGGCUCCGCCUCUUAUGUAAGAAACACAUCGAGUAGCAAAUCACAGCACGAUUCGCCGGGACGCUGGAGAGACUCCGCCCACUCUCUUCACAGCCAGUCAGUCUCACGAAACUCCUCCCCCUCACGCCACAGUAGUGAGAAGAAGCCAAUUGAUUCCUUUAAGAAAACUGCCUGGGAAACGCCACGAGACGGAAGUAAGAAGAGCAGUGUGAGGCAGAACCUAGAAGCACAGAGCUCCAUGUCUGACAACCGACGAGCACAGAGUCGACACAGAAGCCCCUCGCCUCCGGUCCAAAGACACACAUCUUCUCAGAGCUCCAUGGACUCCGAGUCGAGUCACCUCUCGGCCGGGUCGUCGGGUCUCAACCGGGAGGAGUAUGCCAUGAUGGCUGACCUUCCCAAGGUCAAAACGGUCUUCCAGAGGGAGAGUCCAAGCCACCUGAGGAGGAUGGAGAGCAGACAGAAACGAGAGCUUUCCCGCUACAAACCGGCCAGGUGGACAGAAAAUGUCUGAUCACUGUUCAACUCAAUAUUAAAAAGAGGAUGUAUUUAGCAAGGAUGUCCUAAUUUCAGGAUCAAACUAAUUUAAUGAAUUCAUACAUAACAGAGCUCAAAGGCAGCUAUCAAAUUGUACCAAAUAUGAAAUUAACAUAUAUACACCAGGAUCGGAAAUUAACAAGUGCUUAUGGUAAAAAUGCCACCAAAAUUAAUAAAAAUGUCCCAUAACUUCA